rnacentral:rRNA from 1 species
AGCGAACGCUGGCGGCAGGCUUAACACAUGCAAGUCGAACGCCCCGCAAGGGGAGUGGCAGACGGGUGAGUAACACGUGGGAACGUACCCUUUGGUUCGGAAUAACUUGGGGAACCUCAAGCUAAUACCGGAUAAGCCCUUAUGGGGAAAGGUUUACUGCCGAAGGAUCGGCCCGCGUCUGAUUAGCUAGUUGGUGAGGUAAUGGCUCACCAAGGCGACGAUCAGUAGCUGGUCUGAGAGGAUGAUCAGCCACACUGGAACUGAGACACGGCCCAGACUCCUACGGGAGGCAGCAGUGGGGAAUAUUGGACAAUGGGGGCAACCCUGAUCCAGCCAUGCCGCGUGAGUGAUGAAGGCCUUAGGGUUGUAAAGCUCUUUUACCCGGGACGAUAAUGACUGUACCGGGAGAAUAAGCCCCGGCUAACUUCGUGCCAGCAGCCGCAGUAA